AUCAAUAAGUUGUAUUUUUAAGAUAAAAUUCUCAAAAAUUCUAUUUUAGGAAAGUUUUAUUUUUAUUGAGAAAUAUUGUAGAUUUGGGGUUCUGAUUUAGAAAUUAGAACAACGAGAAUUUUUGUUGAUAAAUGAGCAUUCUUUUAAAAGUUUUGAUCAAUAGGUUGUAUGUUUUAGAUAAAAUUCUCAAAAAUUCUAUUUUUAGAAAGUUUUCAUUUUUAUAGAGAAAUAUUGUAGAUUUGGGGUUGUGAUUUAGAAUUUUGGAUAACAAGAAUUUUUGUUGAUAGAUGAGUAUUCUUUGAGGAUUUUUGAUCAAUAAGUUGUAUUUUUAAGAUAAAAUUCUCAAAAAUUCUAUUUUAGGAAAGUUUUUAUUUUUAUUGAGAAAUAUUGUAGAUUUGGGGUUCUGAUUUAGAAAUUAGGAUAACAUGAAUUUUUGUUGAUAGAUGAGUAUUCUUUUAGAUUUUUUGAUCAAUGAAUUUUUGUUGAUAGAUGAGUAGGAAAGUUUUAUUUUUAUUGAGAAAUAUUGUAGAUUUGGGGUUCUGAUUUAGAAAUUAGGACAACAAGAAUUUUUGUUGAUAGAUGAGUAUUCUUUUAAAAGUUUUGAUCAAUAGGUUGUAUAUUUUAGAUAAAAUUCUCAAAAAUUCUAUUUUUGGAAAGUAUUCAUUUUUGUGAAUAAUAGUGUGGAUUUGGGGUUUUGAUUUAGAAAUUAGGAUAACAAGAAUUGUUUGUUGAUAGAUGAGUAUUCAUUUAGAUUUUUUUGAUCAAUAGUUGUAUUUUUUAAAUAUAAUUCUCAAAAGUUCUAUUUUAUGAAAGUUUUCAUUUUCUAUAGAAAUAUUGUAGAUUUAGGGUUCUGAUUUAGAAAUGAGGAUAACAAUAUUUUUUGUUGAUACAUCAGUAUUUUUUAGAUUUUUUUUAUCAAUAGGUUGUAUAUUUUAGAAACAAUUUCAAAAAUUCUAUUUUUAGAAAGUUUUCAUUUUUAUAGAAAAAUAUUGUUGAUUUGGGGUUGUGAUUUAGAAUUUUGGAUAACAAGAAUUUUUUUUGAUUGAUGAGUAUUCUAUAAGGAUUUUUGAUCAAUAGGUUGUAUUUUUUAGAUAAAAUUCUCAAAAAUUCUAUUUUAAGAAAGUUUUUAUUUUUAUUUAGAAAUAUUGUAGAUUUGGGGUUCUGAUUUAUAAAUUAAGAUAACAAGAAUUUUUGUUGAUAGAUAAGUAUUCUUUUAGGAUUUUUGAUCAAUAAGUUGUAUUUUUUAGAUAAAAUUCUCAAAAAUUCUAUUUUAGGAAAGUUUUUUUAUUUUUAUUGAGAAAUAUUGUAGAUUUGGGGUUCUGGUUUAGAAAUUAGUACAACAAGAAUUUUUGUUGAUAGAUGAUCAUUCUUUUAAAAGUUUUGAUCAAUAGGUUGAAUAUUUUAGAUAAAAUUCUCAAAAAUUCUAUUUUUGGAAAGUUUUCAUUUUUAUAGCGAAAUAUUGUAGAUUUGGGGUUGUGAUUUAGAAUUUUGGAUAACAAAAUUUUUUGUUGAUAGAUGAGUAUUCUUUGAGGAUUUUUGAUCAAUAAGUUGUAUUUUUAAGGUAAAAUUCUCAAAAAUUCUAUUUUAGGAAAGUUUUUAUUUUUAUUGAGAAAUAUUGUAGAUUUGGGGCUCUGAUUUAGAAAUUAGGACAACAAGAAUUUUUGUUGAUAAAUGAGCAUUCUUUUAAAAGUUUUGAUCAAUAGGUUGUAUAUUUUAGAUAAAAUUCUCAAAAAUUCUAUUUUUGGAAAGUUUUCAUUUUUGUGAAUAAUAGUGUGGAUUUGAGGUUUUGAUUAAGAAAUUAGGAUAACAAGAAUUGUUUGUUGAUAGAUGAGUAUUAUUUUAGAUUUUUUGAUCAAUUUUUUAAAUAUAAUUCUCAAAAAUUCUGUUUUAGGAAAGUUUUAUUUUUCUAAAAAAAUAUUGUAGAUUUGGGGUUGUGAUUUAGAAAUUAAGAUAACAAUAUUUUUAGUUGAUAGAUGAGUAUUUUCUUUAGAUUUUUUGAUCAAUAGGUUGUAUAUUUUAGAUAAAAUUCUCAAAAAUUCUAUUUUUAGAAAGUUUUCAUUUUUAUAGCGUAAUAUUGUUGAUUUAGGGUUGUGAUUUAGAAUUUAGGAUAACAAGAAUUUUUGGUGAUAGAAGAGUAUUCAUUGAGGAUUUUUGAUCAAUAAGUUGUAUUUUUAAGAUAAAAUUCUCAAAAAUUCUGUUUUAGGAAAAUUUUAUUUUUAUUGAGAAAUAUUGUAGAUUUGGGGUUCUGAUUUAGAAAUUAGGACAACAAGAAUUUUUGUUGAUAGAUGAGCAUUCUUUUAAAAGUUUUGAUCAAUAGGUUGUAUAUUUUAGAGAAAAUUCUCAAAAAUUCUAUUUUUGGAAAGUUUUCAUUUUAUAGAGAAAUAUUGUAGAUUUGGGGUUGUGAUUUAGAAUUUAGGAUAACAAGAAUUUUUGUUGAUAUAUAAGUAUUCUUUAAGGAUUUUUGAUCAAUAAGUUGUAUUUUUAAGAUAUUAUUCUCAAAAAUUCUAUUUUAGGAAAGUUUUCAUUUUUUUGUAGAAAUGUUAUAGAUUUGAAGUUGUGAUUUUGAAAUUAGUAUAACAAGAAUUUUUGUUGAUAGAUGAGUAUUCUUUUAAAAGUUUUGAUCAAUACGUUGUAUAUUUUAGAUAAAAUUCUCAAAAGUUCUAUUUUUGGAAAGUUUUCAUUUUUGUGAAUAAUAGUGUGGAUUUGGGGUUUUGAUUUAGAAAUUAGGAUAACAAGAAUUGUUUGUUGUUAGAUGAGUAUUCUUUUAGAUUUUUUAUCAAUUGUUGUAUUUUUUGGAUAUGAUUCUCAAAAGUUCUAUUUUAGGAAAGUUUUCAUUUUCUAUACAAAUAUUGUAGAUUUGGGGUUGUGAUUUAGAAAUUAGGAUAACAAUAUUUUUUGUUGAUAGAUGAGUAUUUUUUUAGAUUUUUUGAUCAAUAGGUUGUAUAUUUUAGAAAAUUUUAUUUUUGGAAAGUUUUCAUUUUUAUAGCGAAAUAUUGUAGAUUUGGGGUUGUGAUUUAGAAUUUAGGAUAACUAGAAUUUUUGUUGAUAGAUGAGUAUUCUUUUAAAAGUUUUGAUCAAUACGUUGUAUAUUUUAGAUACAAUUCUCAAAAGUUCUAUUUCUGGAAAGUUUUCAUUUUUGUGAAUAAUAGUGUGGAUUUGGGGUUUUGAUUUAGAAAUUAGGAUAACAAGAAUUGUUUGUUGUUAGAUGAGUAUUCUUUUAGAUUUUUUGAUCAAUUGUUGUAUUUUUUGAAUAUAAUUCUCAAAAGUUCUAUUUUAGGAAAGUUUUCAUUUUCUAUA
rnacentral:lncRNA from 1 species